CAGUGUCUGGUGGGUAGUUUGACUGGGGCGGUCUCCUCCUAAAGAGUAACGGAGGAGCACGAAGGUUGGCUAAUCCUGGUCGGACAUCAGGAGGUUAGUGCAAUGGCAUAAGCCAGCUUGACUGCGAGCGUGACGGCGCGAGCAGGUGCGAAAGCAGGUCAUAGUGAUCCGGUGGUUCUGAAUGGAAGGGCCAUCGCUCAACGGAUAAAAGGUACUCCGGGGAUAACAGGCUGAUACCGCCCAAGAGUUCAUAUCGACGGCGGUGUUUGGCACCUCGAUGUCGGCUCAUCACAUCCUGGGGCUGAAGUAGGUCCCAAGGGUAUGGCUGUUCGCCAUUUAAAGUGGUACGCGAGCUGGGUUUAGAACGUCGUGAGACAGUUCGGUCCCUAUCUGCCGU
rnacentral:rRNA from 1 species